rnacentral:rRNA from 1 species
CUUCUGACUAUUGCGAUGGGGGGACGGAGAAGGCUAGGUGGGCCAGGCGACGGUUGUCCUGGUUCAAGUGCGUAGGCUUGAGAGUUAGGUAAAUCCGGCUCUCUCUAAGGCUGAGACACGACGUCGAGCUACUACGGUAGUGAAGUCAUUGAUGCCAUGCUUCCAGGAAAAGCCUCUAAGCUUCAGAUAGUCAGGAAUCGUACCCCAAACCGACACAGGUGGUCGGGUAGAGAAUACCAAGGCGCUUGAGAGAACUCGGGUGAAGGAACUAGGCAAAAUGGUACCGUAACUUCGGGAGAAGGUACGCUCUUGAUGGUGAAGUCCCUCGCGGAUGGAGCUGACGAGAGUCGCAGAUACCAGGUGGCUGCAACUGUUUAUUAAAAACACAGCACUGUGCAAAAUCGCAAGAUGACGUAUACGGUGUGACGCCUGCCCGGUGCCGGAAGGUUAAUUGAUGGGGUUAGCGCAAGCGAAGCUCUUGAUCGAAGCCCCGGUAAACGGCGGCCGUAACUAUAACGGUCCUAAGGUAGCGAAAUUCCUUGUCGGGUAAGUUCCGACCUGCACGAAUGGCGUAAUGAUGGCCACGCUGUCUCCACCCGAGACUCAGUGAAAUUGAAAUCGCUGUGAAGAUGCAGUGUACCCGCGGCUAGACGGAAAGACCCCGUGAACCUUUACUACAGCUUGGCACUGAACAUUGAACCUACAUGUGUAGGAUAGGUGGGAGGCUAUGAAGACGUGACGCCAGUUGCGUUGGAGCCGUCCUUGAAAUACCACCCUUGUAUGUUUGAUGUUCUAACUUAGACCCAUUAUCUGGGUUGAGGACAGUGCCUGGUGGGUAGUUUGACUGGGGCGGUCUCCUCCCAAAGAGUAACGGAGGAGCACGAAGGUGGGCUAAUCACGGUUGGACAUCGUGAGGUUAGUGCAAUGGCAUAAGCCCGCUUAACUGCGAGAAUGACGGUUCGAGCAGGUGCGAAAGCAGGUCAUAGUGAUCCGGUGGUUCUGUAUGGAAGGGCCAUCGCUCAACGGAUAAAAGGUACUCCGGGGAUAACAGGCUGAUACCGCCCAAGAGUUCAUAUCGACGGCGGUGUUUGGCACCUCGAUGUCGGCUCAUCACAUCCUGGGGCUGAAGUCGGUCCCAAGGGUAUGGCUGUUCGCCAUUUAAAGUGGUACGCGAGCUGGGUUUAGAACGUCGUGAGACAGUUCGGUCCCUAUCUGCCGUGGGCGUUGGAAGAUUGAAGGGGGCUGCUCCUAGUACGAGAGGACCGGAGUGGACGAACCUCUGGUGUUCGGGUUGUGUCGCCAGACGCAUUGCCCGGUAGCUAAGUUCGGAAUUGAUAAGCGCUGAAAGCAUCUAAGCGCGAAGCGAGCCCUGAGAUGAGUCUUCCCUGACAGUUUAACUGUCCUAAAGGGUUGUUCGAGACUAGAACGUUGAUAGGCAGGGUGUGUAAGCGUUGUGAGGCGUUGAGCUAACCUGUACUAAUUGCCCGUGAGGCUUAACCAU